UACGGAGGGUGCUAGCGUUGUUCGGAAUCACUGGGCGUAAAGGGCUCGUAGGCGGCCAACUAAGUCGGACGUGAAAUCCCUCGGCUUAACCGGGGAACUGCGUCCGAUACUGGAUGGCUUGAGUUUGGGAGAGGGAUGCGGAAUUCCAGGUGUAGCGGUGAAAUGCGUAGAUAUCUGGAGGAACACCGGUGGCGAAGGCGGCAUCCUGGACCAAUACUGACGCUGAGGAGCGAAAGCCAGGGGAGCAAACGGG
rnacentral:rRNA from 1 species